rnacentral:ncRNA from 1 species
CGACCCCAGGUCAGGCGGGACUACCCGCUGAGUUUAAGCAUAUAAAUAAGCGGAGGAGAAGAAACUUACAAGGAUUCCCCUAGUAACGGCGAGCGAACCGGGAACAGCCCAGCUUUGGAAUCGGGCGGCUGUGCCGUCCGAAUUGUAGUCUGGAGACGCGUCCUCAGCGACGGACCGGGCCCAAG